rnacentral:rRNA from 1 species
GACAGAGGGUGCAAACGUUGUUCGGAAUUACUGGGCGUAAAGCGCGUGUAGGCUGCUUCGCAAGUCGGAUGUGAAAGCCCUGGGCUCAACCCAGGAAGUGCAUUCGAAACUGCAGAGCUGGAGUCCUGGAGAGGAAGGCGGAAUUCUCGGUGUAGAGGUGAAAUUCGUAGAUAUCGAGAGGAACACCGGUGGCGAAGGCGGCCUUCUGGACAGUGACUGACGCUGAGGCGCGAAAGCUAGGGGAGCAAACAGG